GAUUCUCUGUGCAAGUGGAAG
rnacentral:miRNA from 1 species